rnacentral:lncRNA from 1 species
AUUGAUCUAACCUUUCCAAAAAGUCCAAUUUCAUCCAUUUUGGACAAGAUUUGAAUGGGCUGCACAUGGCUUGAACAUUGUAUCAUCAUUUGGCAAAAUCAAACUUCAAACUUCCAUGUACAUUUGUCUUGCAUUCCAAGUUGAUUUUAGACUUGCUCACACUCAAUUAUGGAUCAAAUGGAAUGAUCUCAUGGGCAUGUACACGUCCAUGCACACAUGCAUCACUCAUUGCCAAUUUUGGAAACUCAAUUGUAAGGUGCAAAUAUCAUGUGAUUCAGCUAUAAAUAGAGGCUCAUAUGCUCAGAAUUAAGGACUCCUUCGCGCGAGCUUUGAUCCCAAACAUAAAACCCUUCCAUUUGAUAGGAUAAUCCUGACAAUUUCCUUUGGAAAUUGAGUUUGAAUCUCACUGUUUUGAGAUUCAAAACUCCAGGGAUCCAAGACCUUUUGUACAUUUUAAUCUACUUCUGCAAGCAUCCUAAGAAAUAUCAAGCACAAGCCAAAGCAAGAACAAGUGAAUCCAGACCUGCAUUGAAGGUAUUUUCCAGAAAAUUUCAUCUCUUCGAUUCUCACUCAAUUCUCCAUAAUUCUCUUGGAUCCUUGGUAGUCUGAAGUCCUAGCAAUAUAGGCAACAAGAUUGAGUUGCUUUGAGGUCAAAUUGAAGCAACUCAGAUCAUGCACCUCAAAUUUCAACUCCUUGUAUCUCUCAAUAUACUUGGAGUUGGGAUAAAUUGAGGCCAGAUUCGUGCUCAGUGCCAUUUUCACUUUAAAAUCAUGUCCUCUAUUUUUAUUUUAGUGAAGGUUAUGAUUGGACCAGUCCGGCGAGGCUCGCCUGAGAAGGAGACCGGAGAUUUGCUCUGGUGGUGAGUUAGCAAGGUCCAGAGCCACAUGAUCUGUUUGAUUUGUUCUAAUCACGAGUGUUGGUUUGAAUUACCAAGUUUGUGGCGCGCUGACUAGAGUCCACAAUGGAUUGCGCGUUUGUGGCCACUUGAUUUACCACCUCAAUUAAUGAAAUUUUUCUACAAGGUCCUUUAACCUUGUUUGACCUAUGAUAAAUCUCAUCGUCAUUUCUUUGGUGUCAAUUUAAUGCAUAUUUUAGUUGAUUUUAAUUGAAUAAAUGUCAAAUAAAUUGUGUUGAGCUUCUAUUAUUGACUUAUUGAGUUUGACUUGUGUUGUUGGGCCUUGGUCAAGGUUGAUUUUACUUUUCUAAGUUAAGAUCAUUGGAUUUAGGGGAAUGAUGAAAUGUACAUUUCAUCUCCCAAAAUGAAUGAAUGAUCUUAAUUUGGUAAAAGUCCUUGUUUUACCAAUUUGUGUUGAUUUCAUUCCCCCUCCCUCUUGAUCUCAUUACUCUUCUUUAUUCAUUCAUGUCAUGGACCUAUGAUAUCUCUAUAUCCUAAGGCUAGUUGAUUGCAAAAUCAACAUGAGUAUGGAUGAGAUUAGAUCCACCACACUUUUGCAUAUUCUUUUUGCGUGUGGUAUCUUUCGUGAGCAUAGUCCAUUAUAUUAUGUCUCUAACAUGCAUUAACACCAAACUUCUAUUGCCUGGUCUCAAAUAGUUGUGAAUUCUGCAUAAGUCCAAUUACGAUUGCUUAACAUAACGCUAAAUUUGUGACACAAAAGGCAUAGCAUUCUAGUAAGUAAGAUUGUAAGUCUCCCCUCUUUCAUGGUAUUGUAUGGAAACUUGGCCUUUUUUUCCUUCCUUUGGAAGAUGUCUUGGUUCAAGGAUCCAUGCAUGUGAAUAGUGGGUUGAGUGUUCUCCAAAGAAUGACUUAAACAAUACAAAGCAAAAGCAAUACUAACUUCUAAUCAACUAACAACUAACCUUUAAUUUCAAGCCAUUUACUUUUAUGCACUUUAAUUUCAAGCUUUAUUCAUUUGCCAUUAUUCAUACCGUUCAAUUUAUUUACUUUAAUGCCAUUUUCAAUUUUCCACUUGGGCCAUAAUUUGUGAUAUAUUGUGUUUGUAUAUACUUGUUUGUUUGUAUGGUCUUUUGACCUUAAUGUACAUAAUAAAAACAAAAACCCUAAAAGACAUUUGUGCGGACUGUUGGAUUUGAUCUGAGACAAUGGACUUAGAAUUAGGAAACACUCCCUAUGCAAAAGGACUUGUCCAAUGCCAACUUUCAUGAAACCAAGUGCUUGUGAAGUGAAUUUUCAACUGAAGCAAGUAUUGUGAUCCCAUCUGAGUUCAUCUGUUACAUGGUCUUAUUGAAGCUGUUACUUUGAACCUGUGUCUAAUGCCUACUUUUGGAAGUCAUCUGAUGCAUGGGAAAUUUUGAAGAAGAUCAUGGAGUUGCUAAGCUUGGAUGGGGCUAUCUUUAUUUGAUGCCUUGAUCUUCAUCUUUCUAUUUGUGUAUUGAUAUUGCUUGAUUCUAAAGUCCAAGGGAAAUUUGGGUUUCUAUAUGACAUUCUUGUCUAUUGGAUUGCAGCCCAUUGGUUAGAUAUUUUCAACUCUUAACUUUUAAAUUUGUGCUUAGGAUUAGUAUCUUCAUCUCUCCCCCAUUUAUUUAAUUUCAAAUCUCUCUCUACUUUCAAAAAUCUUCUUUGCUAGUGUUUGUUUUCUAAACUUAUACCAUUUUGCAAAUUAGAAACUUUGGCCUUAUGCCAUUGCAUUUUUAAAACUCUUUUCUUUGUCAAAUUUGUAAAUGAACUUAACUAUACUUGACUUAAAAUUUCAAAAGCGAAAAAGAACUAACACUCAUUCCAACCAUUUUUAGGCCUCUUGUGCCUUUGUUAAACUUAAAUUUUGUUAAAAGAAAUCCACUCACUUUGAAAUUGAUACCACAAACUACGAGGUUUUGAUCCCUCAUUUUAUGUUGGUACGUAGGCAUAAGUCUGAAGGUCUUAUCAAACACAAAAAUACAAUUAAUGAAUUAUUUUCUCAUCCCCCCACUCUAUUUAUUGCAAACAUCAUUUGGUACAAAAACACAUAUGCACACAAGAAAGGGCUCCCUAGGAGUACCUAGGACACUUUGGGUGCUAACACCUUCCCUCUGUGUAACCAACCCCCUUACCUGUAAUCUCUGGCAUUUUAUUAGUUUUGAUAGGGUGCUAACACCUUCCCUCUGUGUAACCAACCCCCUUACCUGUAAUCUCUGGCAUUUUAUUAGUUUUGAUUUGAAAAUUUCUUAUUUUUGGGUUUUGUUCGUACUUUUCCCUUUUCCCUUGGAAACGAUAAAAGCGCGAUGGCGACUCUGGUUUUAUUGACGUCUAGCUUAUCUAUAGCUUGAUGGUCAUGAAUUUACCGCCAUAGAAAUUAAGUGGCGACUCUACUGGGGAGUAGUCUCCAGUGGGUUUAGCCUACUUUUUCGUGUGUAUAUAAUUGUAUAUUUUGAUGUAUGUAUAUUUGUUUGUGUGAUAUAAUGUACUUGUUGUGCUUGGUGAUCUCUGAGUGGUGAAAUAAGUUCUAACAUGGACUUGAGUGAAAUUACGAUAAGAGGAUGGUAUAGUCAUGUUCGACUUGUGUGGAGUAGUCCUUAACAAGUUGGAUUGAGACCCAUCUACUCAGUGGAUACCCUUUUGGAGUUAUGAAUGUUACACAAGUUAUUUGUGGUUAGGCAUUACUUCCUCUGAUUUGGGGUCCGAGAAGUUGAGGACCGUAGAACAUUUAACCCAUCUUGGCCUAUUUAAGACGUAGUGCGGAGACUGUUCAAAUGUAGACUUGAUAAUAGUUGUCACGCGAUACUACACUCAGACGAGUUUCUCUUGAGAUAUUAUGGGUUGAUGAGUCAGUCAUCCUAACUUGUAAUAUCCGAUAGAUGGAAUUAAGACUCUGGGAACUUUUUAGAACAUGAUCUACAGGUUCUUAUCCUUAGUACACUCCUUUGGGAUGGUUCUUACCCAGACUCCAUGCUCGUGACUCACAACAAACCCUUUGAUUCUUGGUUGAUCCAAUCAAGUCUUGUCAAUAUCAAUGGAACUUAGGUGUUGAUAAGGCGAAAAACAUAAUCCACUAAAAUGGAUGAUUGAUCUUGACAAUGCCUUGAUUCAUCCCUUGACCUUUGUUUGGUUUCCUUGUGUGUGAUCCCUUAUUUGUGAUUGUUGCAUUCAUGCAUUCAUGCGCAUCAUAACAUUCAUCACACGAAAAAUAAUUUCAAGAAACUGAGGUCUUAUUUGUAACUAUUUUCAGACCAUGGAUUGUGGACGUAGGAACACUAAGAAGUACAGUUUUAGAAGUCCGGAUUUGAAAGAGUUAAGGAAGGUAUCAUCUUUUGUAUUAGGUCUCUUGGACUUCAAGCUACGUCAUGGGAAGCUUCUAUCUAUUUUGUGUGCUGAUGUGGUUGAAGGAAUUUUGAGUGUGUUGGUUCAGUUAUAUGACCCUCUCUACCGUUGCUUCACUUUUCCUGAUUAUCAGCUUGUGUCUACGUUGGAGGAGUAUUCCCGUCUGUUGGGAAUACUUGUUUCUGACAUAGUGCCUUUUAGUGGAUUGGAAGAGAUUCCCAGAUCUCAUCUUAUAGCUGAAGCUCUUCAUCUGAAGAAGUCUGAGAUAGAGGCUCAUUGGGUGAAGAAAGUAGGAUUAUUUGGGUUGACUUCUGAUUUCCUCAUCAAGGAAGCUACUGCCUUUGCUCAAGCCGGUAGUGUGGACGCUUUUGAAACCAUCUUUGUGCUGCUCAUCUAUGGAUUAGCUUUGUUCCCUAACAUUGACGGUUUUGUUUAUGUUAACGUCAUUAGAAUAUUCUUGAUUGGGAAUCAUGUGCCUACUCUUUUGGGUGAUAUGUACUUAUCUUUCCAUCUAAGGAAUUCUAAGGGUGGUGGAACUAUCGUCUUUGCGUUCCUCUUCUGUACAAGUGGUUUAUUUUGCACUUGUCUCAGACGCCUACUUUUGUGGAGAAUAAACAAUGUCUAAGGUGGUCUCAGAGACUUAUGUUUCUCACUAAUGAUGAUAUAGUUUGGUAUGAUUCUUCAUUGGGUAGCUUGGAGAUUAUUGACAGUUGUGGUGAAUUCUCUAAUGUACUUCUCAUUGGUACACAAGGAGGAAUCAACUAUAACUCUACUUUGGCUCGUCGUCAACUUGGAUUCCCCUUCAGAGAUAAACCUAAUAACACUUUGUUAGAAGGUCUUUUCUAUCAAGAGGGUAAAGAUCCCCAUCGUUUGAAGCAGAAUAUUAUGCAUGCUUGGCAUAAUGUGCAUAAGAAAGGAAGAUCCGAGCUUGGUCCGCGCAAUUGUGUAGCUUUGGAAGCUUACACUCUUUGGGUGAAGAAGAGAGCUUUGGAGUUGAAGAUGCCUUAUGCUUGUGAAAGACCUGUGUCUAUGGUUGUGGUUGAGCCAUUAACUCUCCCUAACCAAGAUGUAGUGGAGUUGGAAUACGCGCUCGCCAAGAUGAAGCAAGAGAAGGAUAGGUGGGAAGAUCGUUUCCAUGCUUUGAGUAGAAAGCAUGAGGAGUUGUAGCUUGAGUCUAAGGACAAAGAUGCACUUAUUGAGCUUCUUGAAGAUCGGGUAAUGAAGAGACAGAGAGAACUAGAGGGUCCAUCUUCCUCUAGUAUGUCUCAGCCUUCCAUCGCUUGGAAGAAGAUUGUUGAUCAACUUGUCCUUGAGAAGGCUCAGAUGAAGACUUCUUUUGAAUCCGAGAUUCGACGCAUUCGAAGGAAGUAAGCACCUACAGUUAGAUCUUCUAAUGUUGUUAUUAGGGAUCCUUAGAAUGACUAGUCUCCUUUUCUCUUGUAUUUUGUACUUUUGGAUUCUGAAAUUGUACUCAGUGUAAUCCUUCCAAUUAUAUAAAUAAAAGAGAUUUUUAUGGUCAAUCAAAUUGUUGCAAUCGUUUUUAUCAUAUAUAUUUGAAAAUAAUAUAGUAAGUUCCUUGGAAAAUAAAAACAAUCAAGCAUUGCAUUUCAUGCAUCAUUUGCAUACAGGUUUCUCUUCCGCCAGAUGUCUUAUUGGUAUUUCUUAUGUGCUUCAGCCAAGCUGACUCAUCGAUACAAUACUCGCGCAAAUCACUCAAGGAUCAUGGAACAUCUGGAGCAAGAGAACAGAGAUUUGAAGGACGAGAUCGCCCGCUUGACUGCCAUGAUGGAGUCAGUGUUAGCCGCUCAUAGCCAAUCUUCUCCAACACCUGCAACUCCUCCUCCUCAGAGGACUGUUAUUUCCGAGGUUGCUACCUCUAUCAUUCCUGCUACUGCUGCUCACUUUGCACCGGCCAUGUGUCGCAUCUCGAAAAAUACGAUUCCUCGCGAUGGUCGCGGAAAAAAUUAAUGUUCGAAUAGAGUUGCCAUCGAACUUAAUUUAUCCCAAUGAAGGGAUAGUAAAAUAUCGAUAAAACCUUUAGGAAAUGGAAUAAUGGUCGUCGCAACCAUAUUCGAGUUCGGGAGUGGAUUACGUAAGGGGAAGGUAUUAGCACCCCUUACGUCCGUUGUACUCAACGGGAACCUUUAAACCUUUAGGAAAUGGAAUAAUGGUCGUCGCAACCAUAUUCGAGUUCGGGAGUGGAUUACGUAAGGGGAAGGUAUUAGCACCCCUUACGUCCGUUGUACUCAACGGGAACCUUUUAGUUCUAAUGUGCGUUUCAUGUGUUAAUUUAUGUUUGUUUGUUAUUUUUGGGUUAUACAAUUGUAAAAAAUAGAAAUGGACGAGAACCUCAGAAAGGGAAAGGGGAGGUUUUUUAUUAGUGUGCUCGCGAAGGUACAACAAUCUCCUACCUACGUAUCCUUAUGGUAUAAUAAGGAAAUCAGAGCAUUCGUAGUUCGGGGAACUACGAUUGGUUGGUGUUUUUUAAUGAACAACUGUUUAGACUGCGUUUCUAAAGGCUAAACGUUGGCUUGUCUAGUCUCGGCGGAGGCUUAAGCACUAGUUUGCUGUGCGCAUUAGAAAGGAUUAACAAUGUUCUUUCUGAAAAUAGUUUUGGUCACAUGGGGGUGACAAGUUGGACUAAUAUGUUGGAUGUUUUGAUUGGUUGAGAUGUUUUUGGUUGAAUGACGAUUACUCUGAUAGUUGAGUAAGACAACUCGUAUCCUAACAGUCGGGAAAGGGAAUAGAAGACUCUAGACCACUUUCUUUUUCAUCCUUAAUUAUAGAAAGGAUUUGAUAAUAAUUAGGGUGUUUUGAGUGGAUGACGAAUACUCGGAUAAUCGAGUAAGACAACUCGUAUCCUAAUAAUCGGGAAAGGGAAUAGAAGACUCUAGACCGCUUUCUGUUUCAUUCUUAAUUAUAAAAAGGAUUUGAUAAUUGUAAGACCCCAAUUUUGACCCUAAGAUCCCUCAUGGCAUCAUUACAUUGCAUUUACAUUGCCUCAAGGAUCAUGAGCGUCUUGGUUCCCUUUGCCUUUGGGUGGGAUCUCUUGAGAUGUGGUUUGAGAUCACCAAGCAUGCUUGAAUUGUAUAUUAUUGCUUUCCUCAUUUCUUUUAUUAACUCAAAAGCACAAAAAUAUGUCACUAACAUCUUUUAUUUGUAGCUUGAGCAGUCACAAGGUCUAAAGCUUCUAGGAGAUCCUUUGUGCAAUGAUAUGGUCAAGAGAAGAUGAAAGCAAGCAUGGUAAUGGUUCCGAAAGCUCUCAUCCAUCAAAUAUGCCUCCCAAGUAUCUCAAUUCAUCAUUUUGAUCAAAGCAAGUCAAAGGGUUUGAGGUUUGUUUCCCAAGGAAACCUUAAUUCAUAUAUUCAUCAACUGUGCCUUGCUCUUGAAGAAACCUCAACCCAUGGUCAAAAAAAAAUCAAGGGAAGUUCUUUAAUUCAUCAUUUCAUGCAUUUUUGAACUUAUUUGAGUGUCCUCAAUCAUAAGUUCAUCAAGAUAUAAGUUUUGGACUUGAGAAGUUGAUCAGUCAAUUCAUCUGACCAUUUUGAAAUGCAUUGAGACCUAACUUUUUAUGUGUUAGUCCAAUGGAGAUGACCCCAAGAGAAAUAUUGUUAUUAAGGACAAUAUGAACAACUUUCAUGUUCAUCAAAAUUUAAUUUGAAGCUUGGAAGGUCAUCAUCCAUUCCAAGACAUUAUAGGUCAUUUUGACUGAAACCCUAAUUUUGGGUCAACUUCCCAAGGACCUAAGUCCUUCAUUUUUCAUGAUUUGGAGGUGGGAUCAAAUGAAUUGGAAAGCUUAAUGUUUGUAAUUCAAAUGUUAUGUUGAGAAAAAUUACAAAAUCCCAAAAGAAAUACAUGUGAUAAUGCAAAACAUUAUAGGUCACUUUGGGCCAACUGCAUUGAAAUGUGAAAAAGUCCAACUUCAAGUGCCCAUAACUUCAUCAAAAAUCCAAAUGAUGCAAAAUUUAAGUCCAAAUUUAUUUUCUUGAAAAUAUCUACAACUUUCAUGUUGAAGAUUGUAUUAUUUGGAGCUUGCAUCAUUGAGACAGAGGGGCUUGAACAUUGGCCAAUUUUGGAAAUUUCACAUAUGCAUGUUUUGCACCUUACACUUCAAGCUUAAUUUUCAUUAAUUUCCAAGGCCCAAUUGGAUUUUUGAUCAACAUAGCAUUUGUUCCUUAUGCAAUAAGCUUUCCAACCAUUACCCAUAAGCCUAUGUUUCAAUUUUGGAAGUAUUAUUUUCGAAGAGGAGAACUUUUUAGUGCAUUUUUGGAAACUUGAUUCAAUUGCCAUGCAUGAGCUCACACAACCUAAUUUGCACGUCCAUUUCAUUCAUUUAUGAUAUAAGCCUGCAAUUCCAAUCAGAAUUGGGCCCUCCAUGCGCCUGUACAGGCCCAUGCAUGAAGGCCCUCUUCUCCGAUGCACACUUUGUUCAUGCAUAUCAGUUGGCUUUGGCUAUAAAUACAUGGCAUGUGAGCUCUUAUUUCUUAACCUGAAGGCACCUGAACCUCUGCUGAACUCAAAACCUACCCUCACCAAAGGAACUUUUCUCUUUCUUUCAAAAAUAUCAGAUCUGAAAUUCAAUUGCAUCGAUUGAUUUUUAAGAUCCAUAGUUCCUAGACCUCUUCAGCUUGAUCCAUAGAAGCUUCUGUUUGCAAAAGAACUCAAAGAUAGUGACUCAAUUCAGCUCAAUUCCAAGGUUUUGCUCAACUGCAUUUUGCUUCAAAACAGCUCAUAUAUUGUUCCAUUUGCCUUGAUUUUGUGUGAUUUGAAGUCCUCUGCAUAGAGGCAUCAUUAUUGUGUUCUUAAUUUUUGAAAUCAAGCAAGUUCAGUUGAACACCACCAAAGUUCCAUCUCUGAUUUCUCUCUCAAUAGGGAUCUAGAGUGGAAUUGAGUAAUAGAGGCAUCAUUAUUGUGUUCUUAAUUUUUGAAAUCAAGCAAGUUCAGUUGAACACCACCAAAGUUCCAUCUCUGAUUUCUCUCUCAAUAGGGAUCUAGAGUGGAAUUGAGUGGCAUAGGAGUGACGUACAUCACUCCACCUUUCAUUUGGUACCUGGAUCGUGCGUUUUGGUGCACAUUUGUUCUUCUACAAAUUUGAGCUCUCACCGGAGCUAUCCGGAGAAGACGGUGGCGCUGACCCCUGUCUGGUCUCCAGAUCCAAUCGUGGUCGUCCAUUUUCAUUUCCAGAUUAGAUUUAGGUUGUCCGAUGUUAUGACCAUUUUUAAUUGUUUGUGUGGUUGCAUUGACUCACGUGUAUUAUGGAAGCGUGCUCAGAUCCGUCUGAUCUGCCAGGUCAAUUAAUGAACUGGAUCCAACGCCUCUCCUUUUUUCUUAUUUUUAAUUUCUGAUUUCUAUUUUCUUUUAUUUCUUUUAAUUCCAUUUUAUUUCUAAAAUCCAUAUCUCUUUCAUUAUUGGUCCAAAAAUUAUGGGACCAAUUGCAUUAUUUCUCUUUUAAUUUCUAGUUUCUAAAAAUGAUUUUUAAUAUUUUUUAUUUUGUCAUUUGCUAUUUUUUAAUAAUUUUCUCUUUUCUGGUUAUUUUUAAUUCAUUUUAAAUAGUUUUUCAGAUCCAAAAAAUACCAAAAUAUUUUCUCAACCUCUUUGAACGAUGAUAGAUCUAUGAAAAAUAUUUUCAUCAAUUUAUUAAUUGAUUUGAGAUUUAUUUGAGAUUUUAGUUCAAUUAGGUUAUUUUUAUGCAUUUUUAAUUGAUCAAAAAUAGUUUCUGACUUUUAUAAAUGUUGAAAUUUUUUGUCAAACUUUUUUUGACCUUGUUGAACUUAGGAUAAUUCACUUGGACUUUUCAAAGUUGAUUUGAAGUGAGUUUGAAGUUUGACCUUUCUUUAAUAUUUUAAUUCAAGUUUUAUUUUAAAUAUUAAAAAAUGCCAAAAAUAUUUUGUUUAUUUCUUGACUUCUAAUCUUCAUUUUGCUUCUGUUUUCUAUUGUUUGACCUUGAUCUUCUCUAUCUUUGGUCAUAGCUUGUUGAUUAUCUCAUUCCAUUUCAUUUAAUGCACUUUAAUUCUUCAUGUCUAUUCUUNAGAUUGUUGGCGAACACUUGCCUACGUACCUCUUAAACAAGAUUAGGAUCAAAACCGUCUGUAGUUGGCGUAAAAAUUCAAAAUUGAGUUGGUGAAUUGAUUUGGUCCGAAAGCACUUAAAGGUACUUUUUGUGUUGAUCCAAGGGAGAAAAACUCAAACCUAAAACACAACCCACCAUGUGCAGGAUUAGCUUAACAUGUUAUGAGGGGGUUUAACCCUAUACGAUAAGCAUGGAAGACACAUUGUCCAUCACUAAGGAUAUAGGUGAGUAUUACGAGUCCUAACCUCAAAGCAUAACUCAAGAGCCUGAAUACGCUAAAGGUUUAAAAGAUUUAAUUAAGAAAGUGGCCAUUGAAACCACAAAAGUAUUUGAAUGAUGGUAUUUACGCAAAUGAAUAAGAUAUUUGACAAAAUAUGGUCAAAGGUGAUUUAGAAGUUCAAUUCAAAAAUAAGUGUUAUGAAAAAAGUUUGGGAAAAUCAAAAAAAGCCAUAAGGCUUAGGUUUCCUAAAUGUUGAAAACAAGGUUAAAUGUUGCAAACAAAAGUUUUGGUUUGGGUUUAGAAGGGAGAAGAAGAAUGAAUGGCAAAGUCCUAAUCAUACAUGAAGAGACAAGGGAUAAGAAAACAAGACCAACAAAUGGAGUUCCCUCUCUUUGACGAUCGAUAUUGAUGAAAUCAAGUAGCUCCCAUCUUGGAAUAUGCAAGCAAAAAUUUAAUAGUCGCUCAAGCAAUCAACACAUCAAACAAGCUCCUUAGGCGAAUCCUCAAUGUAUCUGGUUGUAUCUUUCACUUGGAUGAACAUUGGCAAUGGUUCCUUUUAACUCUUGAGCUCUCAUAGGAUCCCCUAGCACAAAAAGCACACACAUCAAAAAGUUCUAUGAAAGUAAAUCAAGAAUGGAACAAGAGUGUUGAGUUUGGGUCCUUCUAGUCCAUCUCAACAUUAAAGGUCCUUGUUACUCCAAUUUGCCAUAGGAAAGUUCUAGAAACUAAGUCGCAUUUGUCCAUAUUCUUUGCAUUUGGUCCACAAACAAUCAAAACAAAAACACAAGCACAAUUAAUUAUACUACACAAUUACGUGUGCUCAAAGUGAGCAAGAAGCAAUUGCAUUAAACAUACAUGUGCUAAAUGAGCAGAAGGGAAAAGAAAUGAUAUAUGUAAGAUAUAGUUAAAUUGAUAAAGUAAGUGCAAGAGUAAAUGUUAAUGGUUAAUUGUUAGUGUUAGUAGUUCAGGUGUCAUAGGCAUUUAAGCGCUAUGUUAAGCAAAUCGUAAUGGAGUUAUUGUGAAGUCACACUAUCUGAGGCGGUUAAUAGUAUAUUUAUGGCAACACAACAAGGUUAGAGGUCUUGAUUGUGAAUCAACACUCUACAACUUGCCAUGGCGCAGAAAGAAGAUGAGAAUGAUCUUGUUUGGUUUAGGUCCUUUUGCAUGUUUUAGAAAGCAAUCUUCCGUUAAUGGAAAGCCAUUCACUUUGAUCAUGUGAUCAAGUGAUUAGAUUUGAAUUCAAGGAAGAUUAAAACCUCCCUAUCAAUGCUAACCAUCGAACCUUUAACUCAUUGAUAAAAAAAGAAAAGAAGAAGAGAAGAAGAUGAAGAAAGUGAAAGAUAGCAUGAAGAAUUAAAGUGCAGCUUAAAUGAUCUCUUGUAUGAUUAGGACUUUAGCCAUUCUUCUUCUUCCCUCCACUCUAACCCAAACCAAAACUUUUGUGCAAACAUUUAACACUUGUUUUCAAACAUUAGAAACCUAAGCCUUAUGCUUUUGAUUUCCAAACUUUCUUUUCAUAACACUUAUUUUGAAUUGAACUUCUAAAUCAACUUUGACCAUAUUUUGUAAAUACUUUUCAUUGGUAAAUACCAUUCAUUCAAAUACUUUUGUGGUUUCAAUGGCCACUUUCUUAAUUAAAUCUUUUAUAACCUUUAGCUAUUAGGUUUGAGUUAUGCUUGAGGUAGAUGUAAUACUCACCUAUAUCCUUAGUGAUGGACAAUGAGUCUUCCAUGCUUAUUAUAGGGUUAACCCCUCACUAACAUGUUGAAGCUAUCCUCACAUGGUGGGUUUGUGGUUUUAGGUUGAGUUUUCUCCCUUGGAUAACAAAAGACCUUAAGGCUUUUGGACCAAUCAAUUCACCAACUCAUUUUUUGAAAUUUUUACCCCAAACUACGAGGUUUUGAUCCUAAUCUUUUUUAAGAUGGUACGUAGGCAAUGGGUUUAUCCAUCCAAACACAAAAAUGUAAAUAACUUGCAUAUUCUCUUCUCAUCUCUUCAAUCAUGUUUGCACAAACAAAUUUUCACAAAAUACCAACCUUACAACAAGUGUGAAAAGGGCUCCCUAGGAGUACCUAGGAUGUUUUGGGUGCUUAAAACCUUCCCAUUGCAUAACCAACCCCCUUACCCCGAUCUCUGACAUUUUUACUAGUUUUUAAUUCGAUAAAAUUUUUAGGUUUUUAUUCGCUUUCUAACCAUUCCUUUGAAUAAAUAGAAGUGCGGUGGCGACUCGACUUGUAUGGUUUACCUUAGAUUUAGUCAAUAUCUCUAAUGGUAACGAAUACCCCACUACAAUAAUAAUUAAGGUGUUUUGAAUGGAUGACGAUUACUCGGAUAAUCGAGUAAGACAACUCGUAUCCUAAUGGUCGGAAAAGGGAAUAGAAAACUCUAGACCACUUUCUCUUUCAUCUGAGUGGUUAUGAAAAUAAGUUUACGUAUGGUUGAUGUAUUUUUAGAAUAGACGACAAGUACUUGAAUGGUUGAGUAAGACAACUCAUAUCCAAGCAUUUGAGGAGAGGAAUCUAAGGCUCAAGACCAUCUCCCUUUUCGUAUAGUUUGUUAUGAAAAUGAUUUGAUUAAGUUGUAUGUUUGUGGAAAAAUGACAAUUGCUCGACUGGCCGAGUAAGAGAACUCGUAUUCAAGCAAUUGAGGAGAAAAGUUGAAAACUCAAAGUCAUCUCCCUUUUCAUUUCUUAUUAUGAAAAUAAUUUGAUUUAGUCGGGUUUGGAAGUUUGUAGAGGAACGACAAUUAUUUGACUAACCAAGUAAGAGAACUCGUAUUCAAAUAAUCGAGGAGAAAAAUUGAAGACUCAAAGUCAUCUCCCUUUUCCUUUCUUAUUAUAAAAGAGUUUGAUUUAUUUGUUCUUAAGUGGGUGGAAGUGACGACUAUUUGACUAACCGAAUAAGAGAACUCGUAUUCAAAUAAUCGAGGAGAGGAAUUGAAAACUCAAAGCCACCCCCCUUUUCAUUUCCAAAUGAAAUGUUGUUUGAUUGUGAUUGGAUACGUUCUUUUAAUUUUUAAUGAAAAUACUCGACAUUGGAUUGAGGUUUUGAUUUUGUGUUUAUGAAUGAAAUGAAUUUUAUUUUAGUGUAUUAUUCUUCUACUCGAUUAAUUAAUAACUGGAUAGGUCUCAUUGUAAGAAAGCCCAAGAGUAAGCUAUGUGAGGUUGAUGGCGAUACUUUUACAAGUAAUCGACUUACAAAGGCGUUUUGAAAAUGGGCUCGACUUUGAAUCGAGAAGUAUGUGUUUUAUUUUUUUGAAAUUGGCUCGAAUGAUUUUAAAUUGGUGAUAACGACAUAAUCUCGUCAUAAUUAUAACAUGUCAUCCAUAUGCACUCGAGACUCGGUAUAAAUAAAUAAAUACAAAAUAAUCAUGCACAUACACUCCACAAAAAUCAACAAUUAUCUAAAUUAUAAGUGAUAUUAAUAAUAAUAUAAUUAAUUAAUUAAAUAUUUAGUAGAUUAUUUUGAUUAAAUAAUAAGUAAUUAAAAAAAUGAUGAUAUAACCAAAUAAUUGCAUAUUUAUCAUUAAAUAUUAAUAAUAGUAAUAACAAUAUAAUUGUGUAUUUACUAUUAAGUACUAAUAAUAAUAAUGAUAAUAAUAAUAAUAAUAUAUAAUUAUAACUUUGAAAGAAAGUAAAUAAAAUAAAAUAAAUGAAAUUAAAGUAAAAAAAUAUUUAAAUUUUGUAAAAUAAUUAAACAACUAUCAUUAGGAAUUAAACUAUUAUAUAUAUAUAUAUAUAUAUAUAUAUAUAUAUAUAUAUAUAUAUAUAUUAUAAGUAUAUAUGUAAAAAAUAUAAAUAAAAAAGAAAGAAUAAGUCAAAAAAUAAAGAAAAUGGGCUAGUGGUGGUGAAAAAUUAAUAAAAUAAUUUAAUCAAAUUAAAUCAAAGAUACCGAUGAAUUAAUUUAAAUAAAAUAGGGUCUACUUAGGAUAUUUAAGUAAUUUAGAUUAACAAAAAUAAUUCAGGAUAAUGAGUCAUUAAAUUAAAAAAAUUAGUAAAUUGAAUUGUUAGUUAACUAAUUGAAGCUAAUUGUUAGCUAACAUGAUUAUCUUUUAAAUCCUCCACACAGUAAAACAGAAGAAAAAGAAAUGGGCUAAAACCGAAUUUAAUGAAAAAUAGGAAUAAACAAAUGUGCUUUUUUUGACUGAACAUAUGCUAUAUUCUAAUAUGCAAUGUCACCUAGUAUUCAAAGUUAAUUUAUUGUUUUUUAUUAAUGAUGCAUUGAAUAAAAUAACAAAUAGGGGUGGCUGUCAGCAUAGCCCACACGGUAUCCCCAAGAAAAAUCAAUUACUCACCAUAAGAACCUUCCAUAUACUAACAUAUGACACCUAAUGAUGUUUAAAGAGAAAUAAACAAUAAUAAAUGAAAAUUAAAGUAAUGCUUGGAUAUUUUAAAAAACGUAAGGACGAAAAACGUUCCUUCACAAAACCAAUGCACCUCUUUCUUAAUCUAACACCCUUUCCUCCUAUCCAUUUCUUCUCUCCAAAAGGGUUUAUGAAAAAAAAGUUCAGUUCACCAUCAAGUUUAUCGCACAACAAAAAUAUUCAAACACAAAGAUCUACCUCAAACGAUACAAAACCCCAAAUCUCAAAAUUAGCAACGAAAUUUUGCAAACAAAAGUUUAUCGCACAACAAAAAUAUUCAAACACAAAGAUCUACCUCAAACGAUACAAAACCCCAAAUCUCAAAAUUAGCAACGAAAUUUUGCAAACAACCUCCAAAAGACCCAAAUCGUGACUUUACAAAAAAAAAACUAAAAAUUGAAACAAAUCGAACCAUCAUCAUCAAUAAAUUCAAGCAAUCUAAAGGAGGCUCCUACUCAGUUAAUCACGACAAACAUGCAGGCACAAUCAAUUUGGAUCCAAACAUGAAGAAAUUUACCUGACCGAAGCUAGUUCAACGAAGUUCUCUCCGGCAACCCUCAGAUAACUCUAUUUCCUCUUCUUUUCGGUUUUACGAUGGCCUCCUCCUUCUGUUUUGAUGUUGUGUUAUCCUUUAAUGUUAGGGUUUUUUGUGUUUUUUACAAAAUAUUUUUUGAUUUGUUCUGCUCGGAUCCUCAAAAACGUGUGUUCUGUUUCUUUUGAGUUAACAAAGAAAAGAUUACUUUGACAAUUUCUUCUGGAUUUUAUUAAAACGUGUUACUGUUAAUUAGUUUUGUGGUUUAUAUACAUGAAUGUUGGUUUAUGUGAUAUAACUUGUUGGAUCCUAUUUCCAGAUUUUGUGGUAUGAUUAAUCUAUGGAUUUAAAGUUGUUUAUUUGGAUAAUGCAGUGUGUUUCUGAGCGCUUCCUUUGAUUCAUUGUGUAACAUAUUAAUUUGCUCUUUCUAUUAAUUAUUUUCCAGGUUUUUAAGUGCUUAUUUGAUAAGAUGUUUUUAAUUUUGAAUUGGUUUUGCAGGUUAAGUGAUAUUGAUGCUGAUUGAUUGAAAAAGGGGCGCUGUUAUUCAACAGGUUUUGGAAAAGUUCUGAAGAGUUGCUUUUGAAUUGGGAACUUCCAAAAGAGCUUUUGGAAAAGUCUGUGAAAUUUGCUUCAAACUGCUGUGUUUACAGCUUAUUCCAAUUUUUUUAAUAAAAUUAUUUCUGAUGUAACAGAGACUUUUUGGAUUAUGAACUUAGGGACUGCUUGUAACAUGUACAAAUUUAAUUUGGAAUUUCUCUUUUUGGACAAUUAUGUAAUUGUUUUGGAUUAUUAGGAAUUUGGGAUUAGUUAGGAUAUAUUAAACUGUAAGAAAAAUUGGGUUAGACGUGUAACCCUUUGGAUCAUUUGCAAAAUUUACAUAAUUUUAAUUUAAGUUUUUUUGUUAUUUAUGUGGAUACUUUUGGGUUAUUAUGUAACAUUUGGAUUAAAUAGGAAUAUGAUUUGGGAAUAUUAUUUGUGUAAUUAGUCUCUCUUUCUUUUUUUUUUAAAGAAAAAUUAAACUUUGUCUUAAC